UGGAGGUUCUAGAUUCGUUUAUUUUACUGUUCGCGUCGCUUCUGCAUGGUCUUUCAUUGAUUGUACCAGUAUCCAAUCGUAUAUUGUGAUAUAUUGCGGAAUUUCGAACAUUCGCGAGAACCGCGAUAAACUGGAAUCAUGAUAACUUUGACACCCCUACAACUGCAUCAGCUUGUAGGAUUGAGAGGAGAUGUAGCUUCUGCUUGGCUGUCACAGUUAGGAGGCUACUCUGAAUUUGCUAAAGGACUUGAUACACAUGAAAAGGAAGAUCUAUGCUGAUGACUCUCAACAAUCAUGAUCACACAGAAAUUCAUCAUUCCAACAAUUACACAUUGACAAUGCUACUGAUGUCCUCCCAUUGUGCUGCACAGUUUUCACUGACAGACAAUGUAUCUUCAUCCAAUAUAUCUGCCACCAUGGAUCAACAUUCGCGAAACCACAUAUGAGGCAUACAAGGGUCAAAUGAAGAUAUACGAAACAGAAGAAAAAUAUUUGGAACAAACAAAAUGACUCUACCAGAAACUCCAUC